rnacentral:rRNA from 1 species
GACAUAGGUGGCGAACGUUAUCCGGAGUUACUGGGCGUAAAGGGCGUGCAGGCGUUCUGAUAAGUUCGGCGUGAAAUAUUCCGGCUUAACCGGGAUAGGUCGUCGGAGACUGUCGGACUAGAGGGUGAUAGAGGCGUGUGGAAUUCCGGGUGUAGUGGUGAAAUGCGUAGAGAUCCGGAGGAACACCGGUGGCGAAGGCGGGUCUCUGGGCCGAUACUGACGCUGAGGAGCGAAAGCGUGGGGAGCAAACAGG